rnacentral:rRNA from 1 species
AGCGAACGCUGGCGGCAGGCCUAACACAUGCAAGUCGAACGAACCUUUCGGGGUUAGUGGCGGACGGGUGAGUAACACGUGGGAACGUGCCUUUAGGUUCGGAAUAACUCAGGGAAACUUGUGCUAAUACCGAAUGUGCCCUUCGGGGGAAAGAUUUAUCGCCUUUAGAGCGGCCCGCGUCUGAUUAGCUAGUUGGUUGAGGUAAUGGCUCACCAAGGCGACGAUCAGUAGCUGGUCUGAGAGGAUGAUCAGCCACAUUGGGACUGAGACACGGCCCAAACUCCUACUGGAGGCAGCAGUGGGGAAUCUUGCGCAAUGGGCGAAAGCCUGACGCAGCCAUGCCGCGUGAAUGAUGAAGGUCUUAGGAUUGUAAAAUUCUUUCACCGGGGACGAUAAUGACGGUACCCGGAGAAGAAGCCCCGGCUAACUUCGUG